GAUGAACGCUAGCUACAGGCUUAACACAUGCAAGUCGAGGGGUAACGAGAGGAAAGCUUGCUUUCCUUGUCGACGACCGGCGCACGGGUGAGUAACGCGUAUCCAACCUGCCCCCAACUAGGGAAUAACCUUGCGAAAGUAAGACUAAUACCCUAUAAUUUCCUCAGAUGACAUCUGACGAGGAAUAAAGAUUUAUCGGUUGUGGAUGGGGAUGCGUCUGAUUAGCUUGUUGGCGGGGUAACGGCCCACCAAGGCGACGAUCAGUAGGGGUUCUGAGAGGAAGGUCCCCCACAUUGGAACUGAGACACGGUCCAAACUCCUACGGGAGGCAGCAGUGAGGAAUAUUGGUCAAUGGGCGGAAGCCUGAACCAGACAAGUAGCGUGCAGGAUGACGGCCCUAUGGGUUGUAAACUGCUUUUAUACAGGAAUAAAGUUAGCCACGUGUGGUUAUUUGUAGGUACUGUAUGAAUAAGGACCGGCUAAUUCCGUGCCAGCCGCCGCGGUAA
rnacentral:rRNA from 1 species